GGCUAGAGACGCUGGCGGCGUGCCUAAUACAUGCAAGUCGAACGAGUUCUGAUUAUUGAAAGGUGCUUGCAUCUUGAUUUAAUUUUGAACGAGUGGCGGACGGGUGAGUAACACGUGGGUAACCUGCCCUUAAGUGGGGGAUAACAUUUGGAAACAGAUGCUAAUACCGCAUAAAUCCAAGAACCGCAUGGUUCUUGGCUGAAAGAUGGCGUAAGCUAUCGCUUUUGGAUGGACCCGCGGCGUAUUAGCUAGUUGGUGAGGUAACGGCUCACCAAGGCAAUGAUACGUAGCCGAACUGAGAGGUUGAUCGGCCACAUUGGGACUGAGACACGGCCCAAACUCCUACGGGAGGCAGCAGUAGGGAAUCUUCCACAAUGGACGCAAGUCUGAUGGAGCAACGCCGCGUGAGUGAAGAAGGCUUUCGGGUCGUAAAACUCUGUUGUUGGAGAAGAAUGGUCGGCAGAGUAACUGUUGUCGGCGUGACGGUAUCCAACCAGAAAGCCACGGCUAACUACGUGCCAGCAGCCGCGGUAAUACGUAGGUGGCAAGCGUUAUCCGGAUUUAUUGGGCGUAAAGCGAGCGCAGGCGGUUUUUUAAGUCUGAUGUGAAAGCCCUCGGCUUAACCGAGGAAGUGCAUCGGAAACUGGAAAACUUGAGUGCAGAAGAGGACAGUGGAACUCCAUGUGUAGCGGUGAAAUGCGUAGAUAUAUGGAAGAACACCAGUGGCGAAGGCGGCUGUCUGGUCUGUAACUGACGCUGAGGCUCGAAAGCAUGGGUAGCGAACAGGAUUAGAUACCCUGGUAGUCCAUGCCGUAAACGAUGAAUGCUAGGUGUUGGAGGGUUUCCGCCCUUCAGUGCCGCAGCUAACGCAUUAAGCAUUCCGCCUGGGGAGUACGACCGCAAGGGUUGAAACUCAAAGGAAUUGACGGGGGCCCGCACAAGCGGUGGAGCAUGUGGUUUAAUUCGAAGCAACGCGAAGAACCUUACCAGGUCUUGACAUCUUUUGAUCACCUGAGAGAUCAGGUUUCCCCUUCGGGGGCAAAAUGACAGGUGGUGCAUGGUUGUCGUCAGCUCGUGUCGUGAGAUGUUGGGUUAAGUCCCGCAACGAGCGCAACCCUUAUGACUAGUUGCCAGCAUUUAGUUGGGCACUCUAGUAAGACUGCCGGUGACAAACCGGAGGAAGGUGGGGAUGACGUCAAAUCAUCAUGCCCCUUAUGACCUGGGCUACACACGUGCUACAAUGGAUGGUACAACGAGUUGCGAGACCGCGAGGUCAAGCUAAUCUCUUAAAGCCAUUCUCAGUUCGGACUGUAGGCUGCAACUCGCCUACACGAAGUCGGAAUCGCUAGUAAUCGCGGAUCAGCACGCCGCGGUGAAUACGUUCCCGGGCCUUGUACACACCGCCCGUCACACCAUGAGAGUUUGUAACACCCGAAGCCGGUGGCGUAACCCUUUUAGGGAGCGAGCCGUCUAAGGUGGGACAAAUGAUUAGG
rnacentral:rRNA from 2 species